GCAAACUUGGUCAUUUAGAGGAAGUAAAAGUCGUAACAAGGUUUCCGUAGGUGAACCUGCGGAAGGAUCAUUAACGCAUCUUCUGACGGGGAGGGCGGUCCCAGCUCCGGCCGAGAGGCCGUGCAGCGGGCCCGCCCGAACCGCUCAACCCCAUUGCAAACCCCACUUGUGCACCUUUGUCGGCAGAGGGUGGAGGCCGGUCUCGACUGGUCGCCCCCGAGCCGGAUCACAGACUCCAGUCUACGAGAACGUCUAGCGGACGAUGUGCCGCCUAAACUUGAUACAACUUUCAACAACGGAUCUCUUGGCUCUCGCAUCGAUGAAGAACGCAGC
rnacentral:misc_RNA from 1 species